rnacentral:rRNA from 1 species
AUUGAACGCUGGCGGCAGGCCUAACACAUGCAAGUCGAGCGGAGCGGCAGACGGGUGAGUAAUGCCUAGGAAUCUGCCUGGGAGUGGGGGAUAACGUCCGGAAACGGGCGCUAAUACCGCAUACUAUCAGAUGAGCCUAGGUCGGAUUGGCUAGAUGGUGGGGUAAAGGCCAACCAAGGCGACGAUCCCUAGCUGGUCUGAGAGGAUGAGCAGCCACACUGGAACUGAGACACGGUCCAGACUCCUACGGGAGGCAGCAGUGGGGAAUAUUGCACAAUGGGCGCAAGCCUGAUGCAGCCAUGCCGCGUGUAGGAAGAAGGCCUUCGGGUUGUAAAGUACUUUCAGCGGGGAGGCGUUACCCGCAGAAGAAGCACCGGCUAACUCCGUGCCAGCAGCCGCGGUAAUUC